rnacentral:rRNA from 1 species
GACGAACGCUGGCGGCGUGCUUAACACAUGCAAGUCGAACGGAAAGGCCCCCUUGUGGGGUACUCGAGUGGCGAACGGGUGAGUAACACGUGAGUAACCUACCCUUGACUUUGGGAUAACUUCAGGAAACUGGGGCUAAUACCGGAUAGGAGCUCCUGCUGCAUGGUGGGGGUUGGAAAGUUUCGGCGGUUGGGGAUGGACUCGCGGCUUAUCAGCUUGUUGGUGGGGUAGUGGCUCACCAAGGCUUUGACGGGUAGCCGGCCUGAGAGGGUGACCGGCCAGAGUGGGAGAGAAAUACGGACGAGACUCCUACGGGAGGCAGCAGUGGGGGAUAUUGCACAAUGGGCGGAAGCCUGAUGCAGCAACGCCGCGUGCGGGAUGACGGCCUUCGGGUAGUAAAACGCUUACGCCUGUGACGAAGCGUGAGUGACGGGAAGGGGUAAAGAAGCACCGGACAACUACGUG